rnacentral:rRNA from 1 species
AAUGAACGCUGGCGGCAUGCCUAACACAUGCAAGUCGAACGACAGCACAGGGAGAGCUUGCUCUUGCGUGUGGCGAGUGUCGGACGGGGCACGAAUGCAUCGCAUACCUCUUUGACGGGGGUGAUAACGUAGGAAAACUUACUCUAAUACCUCAUAUAUCGUACUGGGGAGAGCAAGGGUUCUACUAGCUUUUUGCGAGGGUAAGAGCCGAUUUCGGAUUAGAUAGUUGGCGGGGUAAAGGCCCAGCAAGGCGACGAUCCGUAGCGGCUCUGACAGGAUGAUCAGCCACACUGGAACUGAGACACGGUCCAGACUCCUACGGGAGGAAGCAGUGGGGAAUCUUAGGCAAAGGGCGAAAGCCUGAUAGAGCAAUACCGCGUGAGUGAUGAAGGACUUCGGCUUGUAAAGCUCUUUUGUUGGGAAAGAAAAAAAGCAGGUUUAUCCCUGGCUGUUCUGACGGUACCGAAAGAAUAAGCACCGGCUAACUUCGUG